UGUGAUUAGCUCUGCGUCCAGUGCUGGGCUUGGCAGCGUGAGUGCUGCAUCCGCCCAGGAGUGAGUGGCCAGCAGAUAAUGUAAGGGAAGGAUGAAGGCGUACUUUCCCCAUUUUGCUCUUCUUGUUUACAGCUGCCAUGAAUGGCUGCCCCUCAGCAAGACCACCCUACCUUGGAACUAGCUGAGUAUGAACUGAAACCUCCAAAAACUGAAAUAUUAACAGAAGCCAGGCAUGAUGAAAAACCUUUAAAUCUAAACAAAGCAAAUAUAAUCUACAAGUAAAUUUCAAGUUGAUAAUCUAAUCAGGAUUUAGUGCAACAUAUCAAAGAGAUCUAAAAAUAAAUAUUCAAGGGUCUCACACUAUGCAGUUCAGGCUGGCCUUGAGCUCACUUUGUAGCCCAGGCUGGUCAUGAACUCACAACGAUACUCCUGCCUCAGCCUCCCGAGUGCUGGGAUUAUGGGCAUGAGCCACGACACCCGGCUUAAUCAACUUAUUUUAAACUAUUGUAAUUGG